rnacentral:rRNA from 1 species
CAUGGAGUUUGAUCCUGGCUCAGAUUGAACGCUGGCGGCAGGCUUAACACAUGCAAGUCGAGCGGGGAUGGUAGCUUGCUACUUAACCUAGCGGCGGACGGGUGAGUAAUGCUUAGGAAUCUGCCUAUUAGUGGGGGACAACAUCUCGAAAGGGAUGCUAAUACCGCAUACGUCCUACGGGAGAAAGCAGGGGACCUUCGGGCCUUGCGCUAAUAGAUGAGCCUAAGUCGGAUUAGCUAGUUGGUGGGUAAAGGCCUGCCAAGGCGACGAUCUGUAGCGGGUCUGAGAGGAUGAUCCGCCACACUGGAACUGAGACACGGUCCAGACUCCUACGGGAGCAGCAGUGGGGAA